GUUUGGAGACAUCAGAUAAAAUUGGAACGAUAAAGAGAAGAUUUGCAUGGACCCUGCACAAGGAUGACACGCAUAAAUUGAGAAAUGCAAGGGAAAUUU